rnacentral:rRNA from 1 species
CUACGGGUUGCUCCAGUGGGGAAUAUUGCACAAUGGAGGAAACUCUGAUGCAGCAACGCCGCGUGGAGGAUGACACUUUUCGGAGCGUAAACUCCUUUUAUAUAGGAAGAUAAUGACGGUACUAUAUGAAUAAGCACCGGCUAACUCCGUGCCAGCAGCCGCGGUAAUACGGAGGGUGCAAGCGUUACUCGGAAUCACUGGGCGUAAAGAGCGUGUAGGCGGGUUAAUAAGUCAGAAGUGAAAUCCUAUGGCUCAACCAUAGAACUGCUUUUGAAACUGUUAACCUAGAGUGUGGGAGAGGUAGAUGGAAUUUCUGGUGUAGGGGUAAAAUCCGUAGAGAUCAGAAGGAAUACCGAUUGCGAAGGCGAUCUACUGGAACAUAACUGACGCUGAGACGCGAAAGCGUGGGGAGCAAACAGGAUUAGAUACCCUCGUAGUC